rnacentral:rRNA from 1 species
AGAGUUUGAUCAUGGCUCAGGAUGAACGCUGGCGGCGUGCCUAACACAUGCAAGUCGAGCGAAGCACAUUUGCGGAUUUUUUCGGAAUGAAGCGUUUGUGACUGAGCGGCGGACGGGUGAGUAACGCGUGGGGAACCUGCCUCAUACAGGGGGAUAACAGUUGGAAACGACUGCUAAUACCGCAUAAGCGCACGGGAACGCAUGUUUCUGUGUGAAAAGCCGAGACGGUAUGAGAUGGACCCGCGUUAGAUUAGCCAGUUGGCGGGGUAACGGCCCACCAAAGCGACGAUCUAUAGCCGGCCUGAGAGGGCGACCGGCCACAUUGGGACUGAGACACGGCCCAAACUCCUACGGGAGGCAGCAGUGGGGAAUAUUGCACAAUGGGGGAAACCCUGAUGCAGCGACGCCGCGUGAGCGAAGAAGUAUUUCGGUAUGUAAAGCUCUAUCAGCAGGGAAGAAGAUGACGGUACCUGACUAAGAAGCCCCGGCUAACUACGUGCCAGCAGCCGCGGUAAUACGUAGGGGGCAAGCGUUAUCCGGAUUUACUGGGUGUAAAGGGAGCGCAGACGGUUUUGCAAGUCUGGAGUGAAAACCCGGGGCUCAACCCCGGGACUGCUUUGGAAACUGUGGGACUGGAGUACCGGAGGGGUAAGCGGAAUUCCUAGUGUAGCGGUGAAAUGCGUAGAUAUUAGGAGGAACACCAGUGGCGAAGGCGGCUUACUGGACGGUAACUGACGUUGAGGCUCGAAAGCGUGGGGAGCAAACAGGAUUAGAUACCCUGGUAGUCCACGCCGUAAACG